UACGAAGGGGGCUAGCGUUGCUCGGAAUGACUGGGCGUAAAGGGCGCGUAGGCGGCUCAUACAGUCAGAUGUGAAAUUCCUGGGCUUAACCUGGGGGCUGCAUUUGAUACGUGUGGGCUUGAGUGGGGAAGAGGGUCGUGGAAUUCCCAGUGUAGAGGUGAAAUUCGUAGAUAUUCGGAAGAACACCAGUGGCGAAGGCGACUUACUGGACACAUAUUGACGCUGAGGUGCGAAAGCGUGGGGAGCAAACAGG
rnacentral:rRNA from 1 species